UACGGAGGGUGCAAGCGUUAUCCGGAUUCACUGGGUUUAAAGGGUUCGUAGGUGGCCAACUAAGUCAGACGUGAAAUCCCUCAGCUUAACUGGGGAACUGCGUCUGAUACUGGAUGGCUUGAGUGUAGGAGAGGAAUGCGGAAUUCCAGGUGUAGCGGUGAAAUGCGUAGAUAUCUGGAGGAACACCGGUGGCGAAGGCGGCAUUCUGGACUACAACUGACACUGAGGAACGAAAGCCAGGGGAGCAAACGGG
rnacentral:rRNA from 1 species